rfam:Oryza brachyantha chromosome 1, whole genome shotgun sequence.
AAUAACCUCAUUUUUUAUUUUUUCGUAUCCAACAUUUGACCAUUCGUUUUAUUUAAAAAAUUUGUACAAAAACUUAAAAAAAAUUAGGCAUGUAUAAAGUACUAUUCAUAUUUUAUCAUCUAAUAACAAUAAAAUAUUAAUCGCAAAAAAAUUUCAAAUAAGAUGAAUGGUCAAACGUUAGACACGGAAAAACGAAAAACGAGCUUAUC